UACGUAGGGGGCAAGCGUUGUCCGGAAUUAUUGGGCGUAAAGCGCGCGCAGGCGGCUUCUUAAGUCUGAUGUGAAAGCCCACGGCUCAACCGUGGAGGGUCAUUGGAAACUGGGAGGCUUGAGUGCAGAAGAGGAGAGUGGAAUUCCACGUGUAGCGGUGAAAUGCGUAGAGAUGUGGAGGAACACCAGUGGCGAAGGCGACUCUCUGGUCUGGUACUGACGCUGAGGCGCGAAAGCGUGGGGAGCAAACAGG
rnacentral:rRNA from 1 species